UGAGGAAUAUUGGUCAAUGGGCGAGCGCCUGAACCAGCCAAGUAGCGUGCAGGAUGACGGCCCUAUGGGUUGUAAACUGCUUUUAUAUGGGAAUAAAGUGAGGGACGUGUCCCUUAUUGCAUGUACCAUACGAAUAAGGACCGGCUAAUUCCGUGCCAGCAGCCGCGGUAAUACGGAAGGUCCAGGCGUUAUCCGGAUUUAUUGGGUUUAAAGGGAGCGUAGGCUGUUUGUUAAGCGUGUUGUGAAAUGUAAGAGCUCAACUUUUAGAUUGCAGCGCGAACUGGCAGACUUGAGUGCGCACAACGUAGGCGGAAUUCAUGGUGUAGCGGUGAAAUGCUUAGAUAUCAUGACGAACUCCGAUUGCGAAGGCAGCUUACGGGAGCGCAACUGACGCUAAAGCUCGAAGGUGCGGGUAUCGAACAGG
rnacentral:rRNA from 1 species